CCGGGGCCCGGCCCCGCCGCAGGGGAGGCGGAGGCGAGCCCGCCCCGCACCGCUCCGCAGCCCGGCCCCGGCCCGCUCUGCCGCAGGAUUUAAGGACACUGCUCUCACACACUGGUUAUAUCAGCGUGAACAACUGCAGAAUGACUUGGGGAAAACUGCAGAACUCACCAUGUCAAAAAUCAUCAUUCUUUAUCAAGUGGAUCAUGGCAGCACCCGGAGGCCCCAUUCAGGGCUCACAGCUCCAUUGUGUCGGAUACUGUAGACACAUGUAAUAAGAGAGAUGGUCUAUGCCCAAAGAGCUUAUGAUCUUAACCCAUGAUGAAAGACAACAGGUGUAUAGUACAAACCCAUGGGGGAAGGAUAAGGGAAAAACAGCCUUGAGAAUAAAAAGCAACAGGCCCAGCCGGUGACAAGUGUUUGGUGUCAGAAGGAAGUUUUAAGGAGAUUUGAAGGAGAACAAUAAAGGAGCUUUACGGUUAUUAAUGGGGAGAUUUUUCCAUGCAUAAUGGCUAACCUGGAAGAGAACAUAAAAUUGCUUGUUAAAAGAUUGCACUGCAGAAAAGUGAAGGUUUGUGCCACUGGCAAAGCAGAGGGGAAUAUUGCCGAGUGACCAUAAGGGCCUGGUAUCUGGUGUGCUCUCAGGAAAGAGGUUCCCAUCUCCUUUCCAGUGCUUUAAAUUUACAUUUCUAGUCCCAGUGAAGAGUAUAAUAUGGAUUUUUUUCUUUACUUCAGGCUUCAGUAUUUUCUAUGUUGUACUUCACACCAGCUUACCUUAUGAAAAAUAUCUUAAGGAAAAGAAGAAAGUAUUGGAAUAGUUGCCUUUUUUUUUUUAUUGUUAAGGGACUUAAAUGAAAGCCUACAGGUUAUUUGCUAUAGGAAGUUUAGUGUUAUAGAAGUGUUAUCUAAGUUGAGGCUUUGAUGUCUGAAUUACUCAUAAGUAUCAAAGCCACACAUGAAUUAUGCAGGACAUCCCCAAAAUUAUACCCAUCUGUGAGUAGGUGGUAUUCCAACCUUGCUUCACAUAAAAUCUAUGUGUGAUGUGUAAUGUCAAACUUACCCCUUACAGAAGUUUGGCAUUGCUGAUAGCUGGGGCUGCAUUAAAAACCUAUACUUUUAUCCCCAAGACACUGAGGCAGGAACAUCCCUAGCUCCCCUCUACUCGAGAUUCACACCCACUUCCCUUAUACCCUCCUGGAAUUAAAGACUGCAUCUGCCACAGUGAGUCAUCAAGAGCUUACUCAUCAGCUUUAUGCAGGAUUUUAACUCCUGAGAGCAGAACUGGUCAGAAGGAUCCUGCAUUUCUUGAGGAGUUCCUGGCACACGUUCUUCUCACAUGUACCACACUAAUGUGACACCUCUGUCAGGUUUUAGAUGUUAUGGCACUUUUAAAAGAAAACUAUUUCACCUGUACUCUGCCACCUAGUUUAGUUUAAAAAGAUCAUUUCACAUAUCAUUUUUUGAGUGUCAUAUAAAAAUAAUUCAGCCUGCCAAAA